rnacentral:lncRNA from 1 species
GUGCAAUCACAGCUAAGGUGCAAUCACAGCUCACUGUAGCCUCGAACUCCUGGACUCAAGGGAUCGUCCUGAGUCAGCCUCCUGAGUAGGUGGGAUUACUGAGCAGGUGGCACCAAUGCACUCUAGUGGUAAUUUUUAAUUUUCUUUUUUGUAGAGGCUGAGUCUUCCUUGGUUGCCCAGGCUGGUCUCCAACUCUGGCCUCCAGCGAUCUCCCACCUUGACAUUCCAAUGUGCUGGGAUUACAGGUGCACUUUGCAUUCAGCGUUCAAACAUGCCGACUUCCUCCUGCGGAAACACCAAACGAAAGGGAACUUCUCCCACCUCAGCCUCCGUCCAGUAACAACCGGGCUAUCCUUUCCCUCCGGUUCACCGCCAAACUUCUUGAAAGAUUCUCAUCUAUACUUUGUUUAAACAAGGCCAACUUACCUUUUCACACGCUGAAAUCGUGCUUCUGCUGAGUGUUCAAGAGGAACUAUUCUCACCGUGGUCACCAGCGACUCAUGAAUUGUCAAAACUGAGGGACAGGCCGGGAUCACAUCUGUAAUCCCGGCACAUUGGGAGACCAAGGUGGGCGGAUCACUUGAGGUCAGGAGUUCAAGACCAGCCUGGGCAGCAUGGCAAAACCCCGUCUCUACUAAAAAUACAAAAAUUAGCUUGGUGUGCUGGCACAAACCUGUAAUCCAGGUACUCCAGAAGCUGAGGUGGGAGGAUUGCUUGAACCCAGGAGGCAAAGGUAGCAGUGAGUCGAGACUGUACCACUACACUCCAGCCUGGGUGACUGAGUGACAGCUUGUCUCAAAAAAACACAAAGAAAAACAAAACAAAAAAAUACUGAGGGGCAGUUUCUGUCCUUGCCUGAUCCUUGGGAAGCAUGUGUCAGCAUAAACAGUUCCCUCCUUUGGGCCCAGAACUGUCUCCUGGAAAAUACAUGAAUAUCUCACAGGAAUGCGAAACAUAACAUGUUCAGGAUAAAACUAACCAUAUUCCCCCCAAAUCUGCUUCUUAGCAGGGGUCCUGUAGGAAUGGCCCCACUAUCUACUUAAUGAGUGAGUACAAUUUUAGCCAUUAAUAUUUGCCUUGUCAUUACUUCGUAACAUGUAGAUGUACAGUUUUGAGGAUACAAAUAUAUUUUGUGGAGUAGAAGUAAAAAAUAGCAUAUUUUUAUUAAUUAAAUGAGACAAAAUUUAUACCUUUUUUUCCAAUCAAAUUCUACUCAAAAGGUUAAUGUAUGACCAAAAAUAAAGUUUGUAAGUGGUACCUGGAAAAAAUGUGUGCUACUCCAAACAUGUGGAAAUUAGAGAAAUAAGAUGGACCCUGAAAGAAAAACUAGUAAAAUCCACAAUAUUGAAUGAGAUUAGUUAUCUGUGGGAGUAACCCAAACACAGCUUAAAUUCCUAAUUAAGGAAGUUGGAAAUGCCCAAAACUCUACCAAAGCAUUCUGAGUGUCUCACUGGAAUAUUUAUUAAAUUCAAACCUAACAGAUUGUAAAAUGUAGAGAAAGGAUCAAACUGAAAAGAGAUAUUUAGCUAGAAAACAGAAAACUAAAUUGCAAUGAGUCAGGUAUUGACAUGUAUAUCUGUGAAGGUCUUGAGGCAGGUGUCUCAUCCCUUUGGUGCAAAUGUAGGCUUCAGACUCUUGGAACCUGGUGUCGUUAAAUAUUUCAAUCAUAUAAUUGACUUCCCAUUUAUGUUCCAUAGUCUAAUCAUAAACUAAAUUUCGAUGGAGACCAGCCUACAUGAAGAGUAUAGCUAUGCCACAUGAAUUUACUGUUUCCAAAAUAUAAAUAAAUACACCAAUACAUUGGCCUUGAAGUUAUAGCUCAGUCUCUUUGAGGUACCUUAACCUGAAUAUAGUCAUCCAUGACUUCUGAAUUUCCAAUUCAUCUAUAACUUCUAAGAUUUGACUCUAGAAUAUGAAGGUCUAAUUGAUGUACUGCUACUCCUUUGUAGAGAGAUUUCUUUUACUUAGAAAUCCUUAUAUUUUUGUGUCAUUGAUAAACUUUCAACCAGUGUUUUGC